rnacentral:rRNA from 1 species
UACAGAGGUCUCAAGCGUUGUUCGGAUUCAUUGGGCGUAAAGGGUGCGUAGGUGGCGCCGUAAGUCAGGUGUGAAAUUUCGGAGCUUAACUCCGAAACUGCAUUUGAUACUGCGGUGCUUGAGGACUGGAGAGGAGACUGGAAUUUACGGUGUAGCAGUGAAAUGCGUAGAGAUCGUAAGGAAGACCAGUGGCGAAGGCGGGUCUCUGGACAGUUCCUAACAC